AGCAGAGGGGAAAGGAGAAGAAAUUGAAGGUCAUACAGGAAUUGGAGCAGCGUACCAACCAAAUUCACCUCGUUCAUAGGAUUUGCUGCACCUGAGUUUCAUAGAGAUAGCAAGCUCACUGUUUAUCAUUGUUUUCCUCAUCCAGGCUGCACCUGAGUUUCAUAGAGAUAGCCAACCAGUUUCUGCCACUCACCGUCUCAAAUUUGCAUAUCAUUUUGUAUGUACAACUAGAAUGACUUAUACUAGAAUAGUUAAGACC